rnacentral:rRNA from 1 species
GACAGAGGGUGCAAACGUUGUUCGGAAUUACUGGGCGUAAAGCGCGUGUAGGCGGCACUAUAGGUCGGAUGUGAAAGCCCGCGGCUCAACCGUGGAAGUGCACCCGAAACCAUAGAGCUAGAGUCUCGGAGAGGAAGGUGGAAUGCUUGGUGUAGAGGUGAAAUUCGUAGAUAUCAAGCGGAACACCGGUGGCGAAGGCGGCCUUCUGGACGAUGACUGACGCUGAGACGCGAAAGCGUGGGUAGCAAACAGG